rnacentral:misc_RNA from 1 species
CAACCCUCAAGCCUGGCUUGGUGAUGGGGCACUGCUUCUUACCCAAGGAGCAGGCCCUGAAAUUCAGUGGCGAGCUCGCCAGGACCCCGAGCGCAGUAGUUAAACCCUCGCUCUGGAAGGCCCUGGCGGUGCCCUGCCGUUAAACCCCCAACUUCUGAAAAU